AUCUGUUGCUAAAGCUUAGAAUGUCGUUGAAAAUUUGUUCUUUUUGCCUCUCAACAACACCAUUCUCUGCCUUCAGCAGUAGGGUCUAUAUCUAGAAGUUUGAUUUAAUGGUGCCUCCCCCUUAAGGAUUUUGUGAAAAUAAACGUUGAUGCUUCCUUUAUUUGAGAUCCGCCUUCUUCAAGUUAUAGGAUUAUUGUCAAAAACCAUCUUGAUAAUUUUG
rnacentral:misc_RNA from 1 species